AUAACGUCGCAAGACCAAAGAGGGGGACCUUCGGGCCUCCUGCCAUCAGAUGUGCCCAGAUGGGAUUAGCUAGUAGGUGGGGUAACGGCUCACCUAGGCGACGAUCCCUAGCUGGUCUGAGAGGAUGACCAGCCACACUGGAACUGAGACACGGUCCAGACUCCUACGGGAGGCAGCAGUGGGGAAUAUUGCACAAUGGGCGCAAGCCUGAUGCAGCCAUGCCGCGUGUAUGAAGAAGGCCUUCGGGUUGUAAAGUACUUUCAGCGGGGAGGAAGGGAGUAAAGUUAAUACCUUUGCUCAUUGACGUUACCCGCAGAAGAAGCACCGGCUAACUCCGUGCCAGCAGCCGCGGUAAUACGGAGGGUGCAGGCGUUAAUCGGAAUUACUGGGCGUAAAGCGCACGCAGGCGGUUUGUUAAGUCAGAUGUGAAAUCCCCGGGCUCAACCUGGGAACUGCAUCUGAUACUGGCAAGCUUGAGUCUCGUAGAGGGGGGUAGAAUUCCAGGUGUAGCGGUGAAAUGCGUAGAGAUCUGGAGGAAUACCGGUGGCGAAGGCGGCCCCCUGGACGAAGACUGACGCUCAGGUGCGAAAGCGUGGGGAGCAAACAGGAUUAGAUACCCUGGUAGUCCACGCCGUAAACGAUGUCGACUUGGAGGUUGUGCCCUUGAGGCGUGGCUUCCGGAGCUAACGCGUUAAGUCGACCGCCUGGGGAGUACGGCCGCAAGGUUAAAACUCAAAUGAAUUGACGGGGGCCCGCACAAGCGGUGGAGCAUGUGGUUUAAUUCGAUGCAACGCGAAGAACCUUACCUGGUCUUGACAUCCACGGAAGUUUUCAGAGAUGAGAAUGUGCCUUCGGGAACCGUGAGACAGGUGCUGCAUGGCUGUCGUCAGCUCGUGUUGUGAAAUGUUGGGUUAAGUCCCGCAACGAGCGCAACCCUUAUCCUUUGUUGCCAGCGGUCCGGCCGGGAACUCAAAGGAGACUGCCAGUGAUAAACUGGAGGAAGGUGGGGAUGACGUCAAGUCAUCAUGGCCCUUACGACCAGGGCUACACACGUGCUACAAUGGCGCAUACAAAGAGAAGCGACCUCGCGAGAGCAAGCGGACCUCAUAAAGUGCGUCGUAGUCCGGAUUGGAGUCUGCAACUCGACUCCAUGAAGUCGGAAUCGCUAGUAAUCGUGGAUCAGAAUGCCACGGUGAAUACGUUCCCGGGCCUUGUACGCACCGCCCGUCACACCAUGGGAGUGGGUUGCAAAAGAAGUAGGUAGCUUAACCUUCGGGAGGGCGCUUACCACUUUGUGAUUCAUGACUGGGGUGAAGUCGGAACAAGGUAACCGUAGGGGAACCUGCGGUUG
rnacentral:rRNA from 1 species